GACGAACGCUGGCGGCGUGCUUAACCAAUGCAAGUCGAACGAAGUGGCGAACGGGUGAGUAACGCGGAAUCAAACUGCCCUUCAGAGGGGGACAACAGUUGGAAACGACUGCUAAUAACGCAUACUGAAGGAGGGGCUUGCGGCUGAUUAGUUAGUUGGAGGGGUAAUGGCCCACAAAGGCGAUGAUCAGUCGCCUGUCUGAGAGGAUGAACGGCCACAUUGGGACUGAGACACGGCCCAGACUCCUACGGGAGGCAGCAGUGGGGAAUCUUCCGCAAUGGACGAAAGUCUGACGGAGCAACGCCGCGUGAGUGAUGACGGCCUUCGGGUUGUAAAGCUCUGUUAAUCGGGACGCGGUACCGGAAUAGAAAGCCACGGCUAACUACGUGCCAGCAGCCGCGGUAAUUC
rnacentral:rRNA from 1 species